AUAAAUAGAAUCACAUGCCUUCAAGGCUUAGAACGUAUGGAUCAUGGAUCAGAGAUAGGAUAAUUAAAUCCAUAACUGCUCAAAAAAGAAUUUCUGGAACCUAAACACUACUUUUAAUAUUUAAAUGAAUGCAAAUGAGCGCAUUCUGCAUUUUGGACCACUAGAAUUUAAUAAAUGUGAAAUGACCCUUUUUAAAGAGUAUUUGCACAACUACAUAAAGUUUAUAUAUAGGAUAUAUAUUAUAUAUAUAUACAUUUUAUAAAUUUAUCCAAUAUGAAAUAUGUUUGAUCUGGUUGUCACACUGCAUAGAAAUAUUUAGUACUGUACCUUAAAUUAAAUCACUUUGUAUUUGACCAAACCCAACUUUCGUUUUCUCUCCCAAGAGACCAUUUGUAUACCUUUGUGACAUGAACUGAUACUCUCAUGUUCAGUGACAGCUCAACUUAACUCCUUUCCCAGCCCUGUAGACACUGGUCUCUGAAAAAAAUACAUUUCACAAGCAAAGCAAAUGCAUUAAAAACCUUCCUUUCUUGUUGUGAAACAAUCACACAGGGUCUGGUCCCCUUGAACUUUCAUGAAUGACUGCUAAGUAUGGUAAUUCCUCUGCAGAGCCAGUCAGUUACAGAGAAGCUAGGGAGAACUUAACACUCUCACGUUGGCAAUGAUGCUAUCUCCCAGCACCUCUCAGCUUCUCAUGGCCAGAUUAGUCCAGGUUGAUGUGUCCGGACCACCCUUCUGUGCACCUGUAUUUGAAGCCUUACCAGGAACCAGAUCGGCUUGAUGCUAGAGCCUCCCUGUGAAUCCUCACCAAGCUGUCACAGCCUCCAACACUGCCACUCUCUUUUAUAGAGAACUGAUCCUACCAUGGUGGUCCAGUUUUCCCCUUCACUGCCCUGCAUUUGAAAGAUCAGUUUCGAAGUCCCAGGAAACAUUGUUCAGCUUGCAGAUUAAGCCUGGAACUCACCUAUCAGAAACCACAGUCUAGCCGGCUUAGCUCGCCUGUAAGUUCUCCUGGACUGCUGGUGGGGCAGAGGCUCAUCUGGUGACCUGGUUUCUUCUCCCGCUAACUCUGCAUAUAUGAGUUAUCCACUGUUUUGAAUAGUCUGGAGAUCUUGGGCUCUGCCAUAGUAGCAACCUGCUGUUAAUUUUCAGCAGGGGUUUUUGUUUGAAAGGGGCCUUAUUAGAAAAUAUGUCUUUCAUUUACUUGUCAAGUGUUUAUAUUCCUUGCUUGCUUACUUUAUGGCUGGUAGCUUAAUCAAAAGUGCCAGCACAUGGCAAUCAGAUAGAACAGGCUGUGUUCAAGACAACUUUUGGCAUUUACUUUAACCCUUAUAUAAUUUAUUUCUAUUUUGUGCAUACUAUAGUCCUGUGCAUAUAUAGGUGAACAUGCAAUGGAAUAUAUGUCUCUCUUUGUGGAUGUGUGGCCUAAAAAAAAAAUCUGAAUGUCAGAGCAAAGAACAGCUCUCUCUCCAUCUAACCAGUGCCCACGGUUUGUUUGCUCUUGUGUUUAUCUGGCCUAGUGCACUGUUACUUUGAAACAGGGAGAAGUUUUGCCUUCUGGAGGUUCUGGCAUGUCAGAGAACACUUAGCCUGUGACUGUGUCCUUUUAUAAAGUUUACUUCAUCCGCAGUAAAUUCAGCUGCCUCAAGAACUCUUGCAGGGGGACGGACUUUGAAAAGUUGAAUGGAGCGCUUGCGCUCUUUGGUACAGUUAGACUGUUUUGAUCUGGGUCCAAAAAACCACAAGGAUGGGCGGCAUAUUCAAGCCAAGAAGGAAGUGAAAUGAAACGUGAACAUACUGGGUUUUUUUCCCCACCCCUUCUGUUUGCUGACGUUGGUUGCUUUACUGUGCAUAUCCUUGUUUUAAUGCAAUGCUUGUUAAAUAAAUAUUGUGAACUCUUUUGUAAAUGAAAUGUAUUAUGUUAAAAGCUGUCAGCAGCUGUCCAAAAAUAAGCUUUUGUUGUGAAAGAAAAAUGUGUGUUAGAUAAAAAACAAAACAAAAAAGCCAAAAAAAAAAUCCUGUUUUCAUAUAUAGCAUCUAUUUGAAUAUACUCUUUCUUUAAUAAUUUCUUUUAGCAUCACCAUUUCAGUGCUGUGGAGGGAUCUCCGUGUCACGUGUUGUCAUGGUAAUGACUUGCUGAGAUAAAAGUGAUAACCUUACAAAGUGGGCGGUGGCGAGGGGCUUGGGAAUGCUUGCUGCAAGGCUUCACAGAAUGUAAGAGGCUAUGUUUACUGUUGACUCUCUCUCCCACCUCCCUACAACCAUUGCCUGCUCUGAGUUGUCCUACUACAGCAAGCUGCACCCUGGGUCACUCUUGGAAUGUUUUGACAAUUGUGUGUCACAGGCGGUAAAAGGAGUUGACGGAAAAUGGACUCUUUAAAACUGACAUGUUCGUAUCAGUGCUAGAGGGAACAGAUUGUGAAUUUUGUUUACAGCAUCCAAUAUUUGGAUUUUUGUUUUUGUAAAUAAAAAGAAGUUAUUUUUUUCUAUUG
rnacentral:lncRNA from 1 species